rnacentral:rRNA from 1 species
AUGCGCGUCCUAUCAUGCAAGUCGUACGCACGCGCUUCGGCGCGUGAGUGGCGCACGGCUGAGUAACACGUGGGAACCCGCCCUCCGGUGGGGGAUAACGCGACGAAAGUCGCGCUAAUCCCGCAUACGUCCGCAAGGGGAAAGCGCUUCGGCGCGCCGGAGGAGGGGCCUGCGGCCCAUCAGGUGGUUGGUGGGGUAACGGCCUACCAAGCCGAUGACGGGUAGCUGGUCUGGGAGGAUGACCAGCCAGACUGGGACUGAGACACGGCCCAGACUCCUACGGGAGGCAGCAGCAAGGAAUUUUCGGCAAUGGGCGCAAGCCUGACCGAGCAACGCCGCGUGCGGGAUGACGGCCUUCGGGUUGUAAACCGCUUUUCGGGGGGACGACUACGACGGUACCCCCGGAAGAAGCCCCGGCUAACUCUGUGCCAGCAGCCGCGGUAAGACAGAGGGGGCGAGCGUUGUCCGGAGUUACUGGGCGUAAAGCGCGCGCAGGCGGUGGUCUCA